CGUGCAUGCACUUCCGGGUGGGGGGAGUACGUGUGAGGGGUCCUGGUAUACAUGUAUGUGCAGGGGAGGUGGGGGCGAUGGUGCACGUGUGUGCACAGGGGAGGUGAUAAUGGUGUGUGUGUGCGCAGGGGAGGUGGAGGUGAUGAUUGUACAUGUGUGCACAGGGGAGAUGAUGAUUGUACAUGUGUGCACAGGGGAGGUGAUGAUGGUGCGUGUGUGCACAGGGGAGGUGAUGAUGGUGCGUGUGUGUGCAGGGGAGGUGGAGGUGAUGAUUGUACAUGUGUGCACAGGGGAGGUGGGGAUGAUGGUGCGUGUGUGCACAGGGGAGGUGAUGAUGGUGCAUGUGUGCACAGGGGAGGUGAUGAUGGUACACGUGUGCACAGGGGAGGUGAUGAUGGUACUCGUGUGCACAGGGGAGGUGAGGGAUGAGCGCACAUUUAAGGAGGUAGCAUGGGAGAUGACAGCAUGCGUAUGCUGGGAAGGUGGCAGUGUAGUGCGGGUGUGUGUACACAGGGAAGGUGAUGUGUAGGUUGAGGGUACUGGAAGCAGUGGUACAUGUAUGUAGGGAAAGCUGUAUAGGGGUACGUGUGUGUGGGUGAUGGCAUGUGUGCUCCUGUGUGUGUAUAAGGUAAACCACCUGCUGUAUCAUAUACCUUCAGGGUCCUGGGGAAUCAGCUUCCCUGAGUCCACUGAGUCCCCAGCCACAGCCCAGUGACCAGGCUUAGAGUGAAGGCCACAUCAUGAGGUAGGUGGACCUGGGAAAGCCCUGAGAGCCCCUCUGCAGCAUGACGUGAAACUUCCUGUCAGGAGCCCACGUGGGGCCCAGGCUCCCCAUCCACACCACCACACCGCAUCAUAUCCUCCGCGGGGAGCUGGCUGCCUCUUACUGACCCUGUCUACGCCUUCUGGAAAGGGGAUUCAGGGCUCAGGCCCUGGGCAAGAUCAGGUGCCCAGAAUGUGCAGGCUGCCGGGGUGUCCAGGUGGGGCCCAGG